UACAGAGGGGGCGAGCGUUAAUCGGAAUUACUGGGCGUAAAGCGCACGUAGGUGGCGACGUAAGUCGGGUGUGAAAGCCCCGGGCUCAACCUGGGAAUUGCAUUCGAGACUGCAUUGCUGGAGUACGGAAGAGGAAGGCGGAAUUCCCGGUGUAGCGGUGAAAUGCGUAGAUAUCGGGAGGAACAUCAGUGGCGAAGGCGGCCUUCUGGUCCAGUACUGACACUCAAGUGCGAAAGCGUGGGGAGCAAACAGG
rnacentral:rRNA from 1 species